UACGUAGGCAGCGAGCGUUGUCGGAAUUACUGGGUGUAAAGCGCGUGUAGGCGGGAGGCCAAGUCUGUGGUGAAAUCGCUCGGCUUAACUGGGCGGGGUCCAUGGAAACUGGUCACCUGGAGGUCGGUAGAGGCAAGUGGAAUUCCCGGUGUAGUGGUGAAAUGCGUAGAGAUCGGGAGGAACACCAGUGGCGAAGGCGGCUUGCUGGGCCGGACCUGACGCUGAGACGCGAAGGCGUGGGGAGCGAACGGG
rnacentral:rRNA from 1 species